ACUGCUCAGUAACACGUGGACAACCUACCCUAUGGAGGGGGAUAACCCCGGGAAACUGGGGAUAAUACCCCAUAGGCUAUGGAAGCUGGAAUGCUCUGUAGUCGAAAGGUCCGCCGCCAUAGGAUGGGUCUGCGGCCGAUUAGGUUGUUGUUGGGGUAACGGCCCAACAAGCCUGUAAUCGGUACGGGUUGUGGGAGCAAGAGCCCGGAGAUGGAUUCUGAGACACGAAUCCAGGCCCUACGGGGCGCAGCAGGCGCGAAAACUUUACAAUGCGGGAAACCGUGAUAGGGGAACUCUGAGUGCCCGUAAAAUCGGGCUGUCCAUCAGUUUAAAUAACUGGUGAAGAAAGGGCCGGGCAAGACCGGUGCCAGCCGCCGCGGUAAUACCGGCGGCUCGAGUGGUGGCCACUAUUACUGGGCUUAAAGCGUUCGUAGCUGGCUUGUUAAGUCUCUGGGGAAAUCUUCCGGCUCAACCGGAAGGCGUCUCAGGGAUACUGGCAGGCUAGGGACCGGGAGAGGUGAGAGGUACUCCAGGGGUAGGAGUGAAAUCCUGUAAUCCUUGGGGGACCACCUGUGGCGAAGGCGUCUCACCAGAACGGCUCCGACAGUGAGGGACGAAAGCUGGGGGAGCAAACCGGAUUAGAUACCCGGGUAGUCCCAGCUGUAAACGAUGCACGUUAGGUGUAUCGGUGACCACGAGUCACCGAGGUGCCGAAGGGAAACCGUGAAACGCGCCGCCUGGGAAGUACGGUCGCAAGGCUGAAACUUAAAGGAAUUGGCGGGGGAGCA
rnacentral:rRNA from 1 species